rnacentral:lncRNA from 1 species
GACUUGAAAAUCUUCAGUUGCUGUCGUUGCCAGUGGAAUUUGCAAGAUCUUUUUAACAACUUCAGCAUUGAAGGUAAUAGAAAGUAUGACAGCUUUCCACUCUCUUUUAUCUGCAUUAAUCAAAUCCGAAACUAACUUUAUAUUUUCAUCUCUCUGAUGAUUUUGCAAUCUGUCGUCUUCAUUGCCCGAAAUCCAGAGGUCCUCCCAAACAGCAAUACGAUCUCCUUUGCCAACCCUCCAGCAAAGUCCUUUUUCAAGAAUACCUCUUGCCAACCAGAUACUCUUCCAGGUAAGCGAAGGUAAAUUUCCUAAUUGAGCCUUUAGAAAACACGCAUUCGGAUAGUAUUUAGCUUUCAAUACUCGGCCUAGCAAAGAAUCUGGAUAAUUAAUAAGACGCCAAGCCUGUUUAGCUAAUAAUGCGAUAUUAAAUUUGUCAAGUUUUCUAAAUCCAAGUCCGCCUGCUUCUUUUAAGUCACAUACCUCCUUCCACGUACACCAAUGAAUCCCCUUCUU